AGUGAACGCUGGCGGUAGGCCUAACACAUGCAAGUCGAACGGCAGCACAGUAAGAGCUUGCUCUUACGGGUGGCGAGUGGCGGACGGGUGAGGAAUACAUCGGUAUCUACUUUUUCGUGGGGGAUAACGUAGGGAAACUUACGCCAAUACCGCAUACGACCUACGGGUGAAAGCAUGGGAUCUUCGGAUCUUGCGCGAUUGAAUGAGCCGAUGUCGGAUUAGCUAGUUGGCGGGGUAAAGGCCCACCAAGGCGACGAUCCGUAGCUGGUCUGAGAGGAUGAUCAGCCACACUGGAACUGAGACACGGUCCAGACUCCUACGGGAGGCAGCAGUGGGGAAUAUUGGACAAUGGGCGCAAGCCUGAUCCAGCCAUGCCGCGUGGGUGAAGAAGGCCUUCGGAUUGUAAAGCCCUUUUGUUGGGAAAGAAAAGCAGCAGGUUAAUACCCCGCUGUUCUGACGGUACCAAAAGAAUAAGCACCGGCUAACUCCGUG
rnacentral:rRNA from 1 species